AUGAUUAUAUGUUGAUGUUCUUAUGAAGAUGAUUAUUGGUGACUAUAUGUUUUGUGACUUAUUUGAAAUUGAAUUGUGACAUUGUGUUUAUGAAGUUUUUUGGUUCUUAAGCUAUAAUGAUAUUUUCUACUAAUAUGGAAUGAGAUGAUAUAGUAUAUUCUUCAAGGUUCUGGAUAUUAUGUUUGUGAUGUGAUAUGACUUUGACUUAAUUGCGUACGUGUUCUUCUCAUUUUUUUUCUACUAUUACAUGUUCUCGGAACUCACCCCUUCGUUGUUUGUGUUUGCUGGCUUGGCCCUGCGGUUGCGAAACCGUAGUUAUUAGGUUAUGCGUCUUGGAGUCAAGUACAUGCCUUUUGUGAAGAUUGUCUUGUGUCGUCUAUUAUUUUGGGUAAAAACACCGCUUUGAUAGUGACACGGAAAAAGGGAUAUGCUUACUUAUUUCAUUUUGUACAAAAAAAAACCAUUGACCAUGAUGUAAAAGAAAGUAUUUUCAAAAGCAAAAGAUUCGAUUUUAAUGUUAUUAUGAUUUUUAAUGAAGUGAAGUCUGAAUUAUGUUUGUUACGAGUCAAUGUGAUAUCCUAAAUCUUGUGGAAGAAUUCCUAUAUUAUUAGAGAAGUUUUUAUCUAACACUUUCCGCUGCGAAUCAAACUCUAUUUUUAAUUAAAUAAUAGUAAUAAUUAUUUUUG
rnacentral:lncRNA from 1 species